AACCCAAGAUGGUCAUGGUAUGUCUUCAAAUUAGUCUGACUGUCAAGAUUAUAGGAAAGGGAUUGCAUUUCUGUUUUCCUGAACUUCCUAAGCAAAUUAGAUAAACAAGUAAUUAAAAUGAAGAACUGCAAAUGCUAGGCAUAUCUGUGUGAGAAAAUAUGGAAUUUGUAAAGGGAAUAAUUUAGUUUAAAAUUUAGUGAGUUGGUUCAAAUUUUGUAAUGUAAUGUACAUCUCUGUAAUGUAUGCAGGUACAAGCUUUCAGCUUCUACUUUGGCUUAUACAAAAAUGUGUGCAUUCAUCACCAGUGUUUCUUGAAGGUGCUACCCCAGUGCUGGACAACACUGGUGCUGUCUCACUGCCCUUGGACAUCUACAUGCUCACAACAUCUGUACCACAUACCAGAUUCUCUACCUUGAAAAUCAGGGUGUGUUUGUAUUUAUGUGGACACUUACGUGACUGCAUCAUCCUUUGGUAG
rnacentral:lncRNA from 1 species